rnacentral:rRNA from 1 species
UACGUAGGGUGCGAGCGUUAAUCGGAAUUACUGGGCGUAAAGCGUGCGCAGGCGGUUCGUUGUGUCGGCGGUGAAAGCCCCGGGCUUAACCUGGGAAUGGCCGUCGAAACUGGCGAACUGGAGUGUGGCAGAGGGGGGUGGAAUUCCGCGUGUAGCAGUGAAAUGCGUAGAGAUGCGGAGGAACACCGAUGGCGAAGGCAGCCCCCUGGGCUGACACUGACGCUCAGGCACGAAAAGCGUGGGGGAGCAAACAGG